GGCUGCUUAGCUCAGUUGGCAGAGCGAUACUCUCAUGAGGUAUAGGUCCCGGGUUCAAUUCCCGGAGCAGCCA
rnacentral:tRNA from 1 species